GGGGGCGAAAUGGUCUCGACGGGGUCAGUGAACACAGAGGAGCGAGUCGAGGUUUCCAGUGCCUCGUAAAAAAGCUGGAAAGGCAUAUUAAACUGCCGAACCUAAAUUUGCACUCGCUGCAUAAAUAAAUGUAGCGCGCCCCUAAGAAAUCGUGGUACGGAGUUUCUUAGAAGGGUGUCAUAGAUCCGGACCUAGCCUGAGGUCUUGCCUCUGGAUCUCGGGGACACCUAAGAGGCUUGGAAAGACUCAGUUUGUCUGCGUACUGUAGUCUUUCGACAAAGAACGCAGACUGCGCUCGGAGUGCCUCUGUGUGAACUGACUUCGGACGCGGGUUCGAUUCCCGCCGCCUCCACCA
rnacentral:tmRNA from 1 species